rnacentral:lncRNA from 1 species
AGAGGAUGACGUAUAUUUUGUUAGGGGUUGCUCUUUUCACCCUUACGUGUGUAUUUCAUAUUUUUGAAAAUUCAAAAAUAUAAUUUAUGUGUUCAGAAAUGUAUUUUCGGACGCACAUAAAAUAACGUUAACAAAGGCGUUGCAUGUGAGACACUCUUAUUUUAAAAAAAUUUAAGUGUUUAGAAAUACAUCUCCGAACAAUGUCCGGAGAUGGAUCUCCAUAAUAUAUAAAACACCGUAUUUCA